AACGAACGCUGGCGGCAUGCCUAAUACAUGCAAGUCGAACGAGACCUUCGGGUCUAUUGGCCCACGGGUUCGUCACCCGACGGAAGCUUCACUUAUGGUCGGAAUACCUCCCCGACAGGGGUACCAAUACCAGACAAUGUCUUAUGCCCAAGAAUUUAUUGCCUUUGAAUGGUCCCGCGUUGGAUUAGCUAUUGGGUAGGGUAAAAGCCUCCCAAGGCGACGAUCCAUAGCUGGUCUGAGAGGAUGAUCAGCCACACUGAGACUGAGACACGGCCGGGAAUCCUACGGGAGGCAGCAGUGGUGAAUGUUGGACCAUGGGCGAAAGGAUGAUGCACCAAGGCCGGGUAAGUGAUGAAGGCCUUAGGGUAGUAAAGCUCUUUUAACCGGGAAGAUAAUGACAGUACCGGGAGAAAAAGCUCCGGCUAACUACGUG
rnacentral:rRNA from 1 species